CCCCGAGGAAGGAGAAAAUUCCAGAGCCACAGGAAAGGAACACGCAGUCACUCGAGCGUUUACAACUUUCCCCGAAGGUCGGUUUACCGGCGGAGAGCGAGGCUGUGAAGCAGACGGCGCCACCUUCUCGUCUGACUGCGAGGUGGAGGGAUCGCGCUUAGGAAAGCUCCUUUACGGAACCCCCACAGCAAGUGCAGUGUUGUGGGAGAUUUCUCCGGGCUGCUUUUCUGUUCAGGAGGAGGGUUUUUAAAAUGCGAAACAACAGCUGGAAUUCAUGAACCCUAAAAAUGCAUUACGUUCUAUGGCCUCAUUUUCUGAUAUGUGUAAAAACUGACCUAAUAUUAUAUUUUCAGGGACAGCUCUGGUCUGUGUUACCGACUCCAUCGGUUGUCAAUAGGAACAUUAAAUGUCAAUCUGCAAACCCUAUAUUUUGCAUGAGGCCUGGAAGGAGAAAGAAAACACAAAAAGCUUAUCUCAAGUGACCUUUGUGUGAUAUAAGCAGCAUAUAGCUCAGUUUGCAGACAGUCUUCACUAGAAUCCCAUUGUGCCAUAAAAGAAUCCAUUAGCACCUUGAAAAUAAUAUUGUGGUGUAACCUUUUGUGAACCAGAGAUAACUCAAAUGCAUCUGAUCCACAAAAGCUGAUUUUUUUCCUGAAAUGACUAGCCAUGGUACAACAAAGUUUUAAGUGUCACAAUCUGUUUUGCAGUUUUACAACCCAAAAUUUAGAAACACACAUUAGAAACAAUAAAGAGAAAUCAAAGGGAGAAAGUUAAGUUGAUGUCUUAAAGAGACUUGAGAUGGUAAACACAUUAAAAAGCUGUCAGGUGGUGGGACAUUCCAUUGGUAGGGAGCGUAAAGGGAAAGGAAUGUAGGUGGGGAAUAAAGAGGGUUAUCUCGGGUGUAACUAGAAGAUCAGCAAGUGAUGUGCAAAGGGCUGGAAGAAUGGUCGGCCCAAGAUUAUCAGGUGAGUUUUGUGGUAGGAUGUAGAUUUGAACUCUGGUCUCCCAGGUGAAAGAGGAUUUAAUUUUAGUACUCUGACUUUUAAUUUUGUAUCCGAUUUCAGCCAAUGACUUUACACAGAAUCAAGACAUCACAGCAGUGGUCUUUAAUGAAAUACGGGUUUAUUGCUUUUAGAAUAGCCCCAGACAUGUUCUCCAUUUUAAGGAGACGUGUGUAAGGUCCAGUAACAUUUGAGGGCUUUAAACACUCUUCAACCCUAAUUGUUUACAGAAUAAAAAAUAAAAGGUUAGAAUAAAUCUCUGACAUAAUGACACACACACACCUGUCAAAAGACACAGAAUGAUGCACCUUCCCAGACAAGCUUGAGUGACAAAUAAGUUAUCCAAACAUUUGAGAAGCUGAGCCAUAUAUCUGAUAUUUUCUAGAGUAAAGAAUGUAAUCAAAGUUGUUGUUUUACUUACCUAAUUAAAAUAACCAAAACAAGAAAAAUGUUUAUUCUUUGCUCAGUGACCUGUCUCACCCACUAACAAACAGGAUAUCUCAGAGGUUGGAAUUUAACACUGUAGCAAGGCCUAACCUUGCUUAUUUACAUAUUUUUGUGUGCUGGUGCUUGAAUGUAUGCUCAGAAUAAGAUUUUAUGAAAUGGGGCCUAAAAAUUCUUUAACACCAGACCAGUCUGAAACUCAACUUUACACCACACUGGUCCACAAAUGCAGACUUCUCCCUGGCUGUUGCUGAAGUUACCAGAAUGGAGCUGUUGCUAGAACAAUAUAUCCCAUGACAAACGUUUUUCCUUUGCCAGACAAAUACUCUUGUGCUCUGAUACAUUUAUCUGAGCAUUUAUUACAGUGUUUAUUUUUAUAGGUUUCAUCAUUGCUGAUGGGAUUUGACUCUCCCAUCUCUCUCUUACAACUUCCUUUUAAUGGCUCCUUAGAAUUUUAUAAGAAGUUUCCUUUUUUAACUUGACUAUGCAUACAAUUGGGAAUAAGUCCUCUUGAAUUCAGUGGGAUCUAAACUUAAGAGGCUUAAGUUUCAGACUUGUGACCUGGUUGGACUUUCUGUGACUUUCCAGUUCCUCAUACAUUGAAUUUGAUAGUGUUUUGGCCAUUGUUCCCAAACAAUUUAACUAUGUUUUCCUUCUUGUAUCAGUUCUCUGGGUGCCAUUCAGGAUACAGCUCUCUCUUGUGAACUCUGUGAAUAAAGCUACAAGCCUGGGCUCACU